UGGGCGCAAGCCUGAUCCAGCCAUGCCGCGUGAGUGAUGAAGGCCGUAGGGUAGUAAAGCUCUUUCGCCAGGGAUGAUAAUGACAGUACCUGGUAAAGAAACCCCGGCUAACUCCGUGCCAGCAGCCGCGGUAAUACGGAGGGGGUUAGCGUUGUUCGGAAUUACUGGGCGUAAAGCGCGCGUAGGCGGACUAUUAAGUCAGGGGUGAAAUCCCGGGGCUCAACCCCGGAACUGCCCUUGAUACUGGUAGUCUUGAGGUCGAGAGAGGUGAGUGGAAUUCCGAGUGUAGAGGUGAAAUUCGUAGAUAUUCGGAGGAACACCAGUGGCGAAGGCGGCUCACUGGCUCGAUACUGACGCUGAGGUGCGAAAGUGUGGGGAGCAAACAGGAUUAGAUACCCUGGUAGUCCACACCGUAAACGAUGAAUGCCAGUCGUCGGGUAGCAUGCUAUUCGGUGACACACCUAACGGAUUAAGCAUUCCGCCUGGG
rnacentral:rRNA from 1 species